AUAACUUAGCGAAUCGCAUUAGCCUUUUGUGCUGGCGAUGGUACAUUCAAAUUUCUGCCCUAUCAAUUUGAUGGUAGGAUAGAGGCCUACCAUGGUUUUUACGGGUGACGGAGAAUUAGGGUUCGAUUCCGGAGAGGGAGCCUGAGAGAUGGCUACCACUUCUAAGGAAGGCAGCAGGCGCGCAAAAUUACCCCAAUCCUGAUACAGGGAGGUAGUGACAAGAAAUAACAAUACAGGUCCCAAUACGGGCCUUGUAAUUGGAAUGAGUACAAUUUAAACCCCUUAAUGAGUAACAAUUGGAGGGCAAGUCUGGUGCCAGCAGCCGCGGUAAUUCCAGCUCCAAUAGCAUAUAUUAAAUUUGUUGCAGUUAAAAAGCUCGUAGUUGGAUCUCGGAACAGGGAAUAACUGGUCUGCCGGUUGGUAUGUACUGUUGUCCCGUUCUCUACUGAUGGAACUUAUCUCUACUCUUAAAUGAGCGAGAGUAGAUCAGUAGAAUGUAUAUUG
rnacentral:rRNA from 1 species